rnacentral:piRNA from 1 species
UACGAGUAUUGGAGUAUCACUGUGACC